rnacentral:rRNA from 1 species
UCGAGAAUUUUUCUCAAUGGGGGAAACCCUGAAGGAGCGACGCCGCGUGGAGGAUGAAGGUCUUCGGGUUGUAAACUCCUGUCAUUUGGGAACAAUGCGUAAAUAUUAACUGUAUUUGCGUUGAUAGUACCAGAAGAGGAAGAGACGGCUAACUCUGUGCCAGCAGCCGCGGUAAUACAGAGGUCUCAAGCGUUGUUCGGAUUCAUUGGGCGUAAAGGGUGCGUAGGCGGCGCGGUAAGUCGGGUGUGAAAUCUCGGGGCUUAACUCCGAAACUGCAUUCGAUACUGCCGUGCUUGAGGACUGGAGAGGAGACUGGAAUUUACGGUGUAGCGGUGAAAUGCGUAGAUAUCGUAAGGAAGACCAGUGGCGAAGGCGGGUCUCUGGACAGUUCCUGACGCUGAGGCACGAAGGCCAGGGGAGCAAACG